rnacentral:lncRNA from 1 species
GCUGCCCCUCGUCUGAGCGUGGGCCAGGGCCCAGGUGGUGACCAAGGCCCGGCGCAGUGGCCCCGGAGCGUGGAGGGGCAGCUGCUGGGCGGCCUCCCGGGGGAGGGUGACGGCUUCACCCGCCAACGCUGCCUCCCUCCUGGGAUUAGGCCGGAGGAAUCUUGGAUCGCCCGAGGCUGGUGCUCAGCCUCCUUCCCCCAUCCCACCUCCACCACCCGGCGACCCCCGUAGACUUGAUUGGCAGGCCCUGCCCCGACCCCUACCCCUCCAGGUCCCCGCCUCGGUGCCUCGGUGCCCGGCUCCGGGCCACUCCUGCAGGCCCUGCCUAGGGCAGCCGGCGGUGCCUGGAGGCGGGCUCGCCCCGGCUGCUCCACGCCCAGGCCGGUCCCUGGCAUUUCAGCCAGUGGGAGGGCGUCCCCGCCGCCCCCGUGCCUCUCCGCAGGGGCUGCGCCGCGUCCCCGGGCCUCUCCCUCCGCCGUGGCCUGGUCUGCCUGCUCCAGGGCGCAGCUGCGCCCGCUUCAGCGCCUCCCGGGUCUGCGUGGCCUGCUCGGCUCAGAGGCCUCCACCACGGUCCGCUCCCUGCCGGACGCCGCGCUGCUGUGGCCGCGGUGGUUCUGUGGCUGUGAGGGCCGUUUCUGUCCGUCCACACCGCCUUCCCUCUGCAGAUUUCCUCUGCAGAGGCCCGGAGUUACCAGCAAGGUCUGACGCAGCAGAGUGCAGAAACGGCCUCCCUGUCUGUCAAAGUGGCCUCCCGAGGACACCCAGCGAGGCCACCAGAUCAUCACGUGGAGUAUCGGUGGCCUUAUUAAAACAAAAACAACAACUCCACAGCCCGGCGAGCGGUAUGUGUGCCCAAGUACAUAGGUGAUU